GAUGAACGCUGGCGGCGUGCCUAAUACAUGCAAGUCGAGCGAACAGACGAGGAGCUUGCUCCUCUGACGUUAGCGGCGGACGGGUGAGUAACACGUGGAUAACCUACCUAUAAUACUGGUAUAACUUCGGGAAACCGGAGCUAAUACCGGAUAAUAUAUUGAACCGCAUGGUUCAAUAGUGAAAGACGGUUUUGCUGUCUCUUAUAGAUGGAUCCGCGCCGCAUUAGCUAGUUGGUAAGGUAACGGCUUACCAAGGCGACGAUGCGUAGCCGACCUGAGAGGGUGAUCGGCCACACUGGAAGUGAGACACGGACCAGACACCUACGGGAGGCAGCAGUAGGGAAUAUUCCGCAAAGGGCGAAAGCUUGACGGAGCAACGCCGCGUGAGUGAUGAAGGUCUUCGGAUCGUAAAACACUGUUAUUAGGGAAGAACAAAUGUGUAAGUAACUAUGCACGUAUUGACGGUACCUAAUCAGAAAGCAACGGCUAACUACGUG
rnacentral:rRNA from 1 species